UACAGAGACUGCAAGCGUUAUUCGGAUUCACUGGGCGUAAAGGGUGCGCAGGCGGCCAUGUGCGUCAGGUGUGAAAGCCCGAGGCUCAACCUCGGAAUUGCGCCUGAAACUACAUGGCUAGAGUACUGGAGAGGGUAGCGGAAUUCAUGGUGUAGCAGUGAAAUGCGUAGAUAUCAUGAGGAACACCAGAGGCGAAGGCGGCUACCUGGACAGUUACUGACGCUCAGGCACGAAAGCGUGGGGAGCAAAAGGG
rnacentral:rRNA from 1 species